rnacentral:tRNA from 1 species
ACGUUCUUAAUUUAAAAGGCAAAAUACUAGUUUCCAAAACUAAGAAAUGGGGGUUCGACUCCUUCAGAGCGUG